UACGUAGGGUGCAAGCGUUAAUCGGAAUUACUGGGCGUAAAGCGUGCGCAGGCGGUUUUGUAAGUCUGUCGUGAAAGCCCCGGGCUCAACCUGGGAAUUGCGAUGGAGACUGCAAGGCUUGAAUCUGGCAGAGGGGGGUAGAAUUCCACGUGUAGCAGUGAAAUGCGUAGAGAUGUGGAGGAACACCGAUGGUGAAGGCAGCCCCUGGGUCAAGAUUGACGCUCAUGCACGAAAGCGUGG
rnacentral:rRNA from 1 species